GGCAUCGGGUUUCAGUAUUCCUCGUUCAUUUCUUUUUCUUUCUAAACGAAUUCUGAAGUAGUAGAAGUGAUACGCGGGUAUUAUACCCCCUAAUUAGCGAAGCUCUGCCUCGUUACUAUAACCAGGGAAUCACAAAGGAAAGCCCUAUAAUAGCAAUGUGAGUAAUCUCCUUUUUGUUAAAUGUUUUUACAAAACCUUAAAUACUUUUCCCUGCGAACGACAGUUAUUGAGUAUUUGUAACUUAGUGUAAAGCCAAUAGAAGCCAG
rnacentral:lncRNA from 1 species